rnacentral:rRNA from 1 species
UACGGAGGAUGCGAGCGUUAUCCGGAUUUAUUGGGUUUAAAGGGUGCGUAGGCGGGCUUUUAAGUCAGCGGUAAAAAUUCGGGGCUCAACCCCGUCCGGCCGUUGAAACUGGGGGCCUUGAGUGGGCGAGAAGAAGGCGGAAUGCGUGGUGUAGCGGUGAAAUGCAUAGAUAUCGCGCAGAACCCCGAUUGCGAAGGCAGCCUUCCGGCGCCCUACUGACGCUGAGGCACGAAAGUGCGGGGAUCGAACAGG